UACGGGGGGGGCAAGCGUUGUUCGGAUUUACUGGGCGUAAAGGGCGCGUAGGCGGCGCAACAAGUCACUUGUGAAAUCUCCGGGCUUAACCCGGAGCGGCGAAGUGAUACUGUCGUGCUAGAGUGCGGAAGGGGCUACUGGAAUUCUCGGUGUAGCGGUGAAAUGCGUAGAUAUCGAGAGGAACACCAGCGGCGAAGGCGGGUAGCUGGGCCGACACUGACGCUGAGGCGCGAAAGCCAGGGGAGCGAACGGG
rnacentral:rRNA from 1 species